UCCUGGGGCGGGACGCUCCACAUGCGCCCUGUGCCCAUGGCCGUACCACGUGGCUGUCAUCAGGGCCCCACUGUCCGAGCUGUCCGGGUUCCUCCGGCUCACCUGCAGACCCUUUACCCAGACCCUGCGUGUGUGACCUCUUCUCAGCCACACUUCGCGGGGAGACUGCAGCUACUGCAAACUCUGCGCUGUGCUGGCCCCUCUGGAUCAGAAGCUGGAUCAGAAAAUCGAGUCCCCUGGACCACAUCCUGGUGGUGAAGGAGAUUAUUGUCUGUACUAGUGACCAGGUUUGUCUACCUUUGGAUGCUUCGGUGUGUGACUGCAGUAGUGUUUAACAGUUCACAUGUUCCAAGACCGUUGAGACAUCACAUCCCACCGCACUGGGCUGACCACUCCCAGUCCGCAGGUGGGGUGUGCGCUCCUGCACCGCGGUGAACCUCAGGGACUAUCUCAGGUGAGGCUUGGGGCGACAGCAGCCGAGGCACAAAAGGGGAUUUAGCUCCUGCUUGGGGCCCCCUGCCCCUCCCUCCUUUUCCCCCCUCUUCUUUUUCUCUCUCCCUCCAUUAGAACCCAGGCCUCAGCUCUGACUUGGAAAACCCAGGCUGCAAGGAGAGGCCGCAUGUCUCAGCCGCCGGCUCCCACGGAAGCUCCCCAGCCUCAGCGCUAGACACACGCACCCUCAGACCCCAGCGCCAGCCUGCGAUGCCCCAGCCUGUAACAGCGGCCACCCUGCGAUGCCCCAGCCCGUAACAGCGGCAGCACUCUGCAGACCCUUCCCACCACGCAGGCCGCUGUUCACUGUUGGCGUGGCCUAGUUCACAGCGACCAGAAAGUAAAUUACAUUAUUCUGCAACAAAGGGUCGGUGCUCGGAUGUUUUCUAUCCAGGACUCAGCAUUAGUCAGUGACAAAUGUACCUGAAGGCCACAGUCUGAGCCUUUGGAUAAGUUGAAUUUGUGGACUAGUUUAGAGAGAAACAUCAAUUUACAAUACUGAAUACCUUUUAUGAAAAAAUAAAUCUGUGUAACCAAAAAAUAAGAGAACGCCAAUAGUUGGCGCCAACUGCAUGUGCAUUGUUAUCUUCGAAGUAGUUAGUACAAGACAUAAACCAAAAAGAUUCUUACAAAAAUAAACCGAUAGUACUCAGACUGCCACUUCAGUGAACUAAGAUUUACUAGUAUAAACUAAAAUUUAUUAGUAUAAAUGAAAUAAACUGGCAUAUAUAUGCAAAUGUUUUUUAAACAACAGGACAUGUAAUUUGGGAAGUCUUGGGAGUUUCCCAUCGUGUCUCUUGUGCUCUGCUCCCCGUUUGUACACACGGAUGUGGGUCCCGUCCAGAGGAGACCACACGGCCCCGAGCUGUGUGUCCCUCAUGUCACCUAACACUACGUUCUCAAGCAAUAGUGGAUCCUUCUAUCUGCAAAUACGUUGUCAUUAAAUAAUUUUCUUAACCAUCUUUCAAUAAAAAUGUUUCUUCGCUUUCUCA